rnacentral:lncRNA from 1 species
UGGGGUGGCUGGGCAUGAUAAAAACUCAACCCCUUUCAAAGUCAUAAUGAGGGAAACAGCACCAAUUUAAAGGCCGUCUUCAGUCUGAACUAAAUAGUUACUAGGAAGGAACAUGCUGGCUUUCUAGACAGAACGAUGACUGAGGGGGUCUUUUAUCCGUCUAACCUCUUGAGAGUUAGAAAGGUGGUCUGGCAAGGGGGCUCAGGGGGCUUGUGACUUGUCUUACUGGGACAUGAGAGUUGCUGAAGCUCUGGAUACUGCCUUAAUAUUUUAGUCUUGAAUGCUAAGGCAAGUUCACCUAACUAGGUUCAAGUCCAUUCUAACUCAGUUUCUGCCCAGCCAGUAAUUGGAGGGAAAGAGGCAGACCACCGUCAUUUCUGCAUAUGCCAACCUGUCCCCACCCACAGGAUUUUGUGGGCUCAGGACACUGUCAGCUGAUUCGGUUCUACCCUCAGGUUCAGAAUUCUAGAUGGUGGUGAUGUUGCCUGAGUGGUGAAACACC